rnacentral:lncRNA from 1 species
AUAUAGUUAAAUUUGUUUAUCUCAGGUAAAAAAGAACAUGGUUUCUGAGAACUUGCCAAUGGGAAUUUUGUUCUUUUCUCAAACAGCUGUGGGAAUCCUUGGCAAUUGGUCAAUUCUUCUUCAUUAAGUCAUGUCUGUAAUCACUGGAAAAAGUUUGAUGUUCAAAGACCAAAUUUUAAAGCAACUGACUGUAGCCAAUUCCAUGGUUAUUAUCUCAAGAGCCAUACCUCACAUAAUGGUACAGCUGGGGUUGCGAUAUCUCCUGGAUGACCUUUUAUGUAAACUUAACUUUCUACAGUAAUUGAGUGUCCCAGGGUGUUUCCCUACACUGCACCUGCCUCUUGAGUUAUUUCCAAGCAAUCAUAAUCAACCUGAGCCACUCCAGGUGGAUGAAGCUUGCACACUCAUUCUCUUAAGUACACGAUUCGGUUCUGCUCUCUAAGCUGGCUUGUGUAUCUCCUUCUAAACAUCAGGGCAGCUAUAUAUGUGAUUGGACCAAAUACUAAUAAAAUUUUCACCAGAAAAAUCAAAUUGGGUUACUGCUCCACAUUCCCCUUUGGCAAUGCUGUAUUUGUACUAUAUCUAUUCUUGCUUUGUUUCACUGAUGGUCUGUGUUUGAGUCUCAUGGUCUGGACCAGUGUCUCGAUAAUGAACAUUCUCUAUAGGCACAAGAGUCAGCUACAGUAUAUCCACAAUCCUCAGCAUUCACUCAGCGUGCCCCCUGAAGACAAAGCCAUAAAAACCAUCUUGAUCCUUGUGUGCACUUUUGUCUUCUACUCAAUGUCCUUCAUACUUGUUAUCUAUACUGUUCUAUUUGACAAUCCAAGGCUGUGGCUAAUAAACAUAUUUACAUUCUUAGACACAUGCUUCCCUUCAUUUUGCCCCUUCAUCCUUAUAAGUAAUAACUAAUCCACUCCCAAGAAUCACUUUCCCUGCUGUAGCAGAAGGUAA